rnacentral:rRNA from 1 species
ACACUCCUACGGGAGGCAGCAGUGGGGAAUAUUGCACAAUGGGCGCAAGCCUGAUGCAGCCAUGCCGCGUGUAUGAAGAAGGCCUUCGGGUUGUAAAGUACUUUCAGCGGGGAGGAAGGCAAUACGGUUAAUAACCGUGUUGAUUGACGUUACCCGCAGAAGAAGCACCGGCUAACUCCGUGCCAGCAGCCGCGGUAAUACGGAGGGUGCAAGCGUUAAUCGGAAUUACUGGGCGUAAAGCGCACGCAGGCGGUCUGUCAAGUCGGAUGUGAAAUCCCCGGGCUCAACCUGGGAACUGCAUUCGAAACUGGCAGGCUUGAGUCUUGUAGAGGGGGGUAGAAUUCCAGGUGUAGCGGUGAAAUGCGUAGAGAUCUGGAGGAAUACCGGUGGCGAAGGCGGCCCCCUGGACAAAGACUGACGCUCAGGUGCGAAAGCGUGGGGAGCAAACAGGAUUAGAUACCCGGGUAGUCCCAUGAU